CCUACGGGAGGCAGCAGUGAGGAAUAUUGGUCAAUGGGCGCGAGCCUGAACCAGCCAAGUCGCGUGAGGGAGGACGGCCCUACGGGUUGUAAACCUCUUUUGCCGGGGAGCAACGGGCGUAACGUGUGGCGCCACUGAGAGUACCCGGAGAAAAAGCAUGGGCUAACCCCGUGCCAGCAGCCGCGGUAAUACGGAGGAUGCGAGCGUUAACCGGAUUUAUUGGGUUUAACGGGUGCGUAGGCGGAUCGUUAAGUCAGUGGUCAAAUUGAGGGUCUCAACCCCUUCCCGCCAUUGAAACUGGCGUUCUUGAGUGGAAGAGAAGUAUGCGGAAAGCGUGGUGUAGCGGUGAAAUGCAUAGAUAUCACGCAGAACCCCGAUUGCGAAGGCAGCAUGCCGGCUUCCGACUGACGCUGAAGCACGAAAGCGUGGGGAUCGAACAGGAUUAGAUACCCCAGUAGUC
rnacentral:rRNA from 1 species